UUCGGUGUAGAUGUUACCAACAGAUGUGACCUGCAUCUGACGCUUCCCUACAAUUCCACUAUAGGAAGUGAUGUACUCGGGCUACGCUAGUCAAUCGGGAUGGACCUGUGACAAACAAAAUGCAAUCUUGCAUUCAAUUAGUAAGUAUACUGAAAUCAUAACAAAUACAUUUUUGUGCUUCUAAGCAACAAAAAGAAGAGGGAACCUAUUUUAAAAAUCUAAACAUCAAUAUUUUCAAGACAACUUCUUACACGAUGCUAAGUAGAAGUUCAUUGAUGAAAACAUUACUUUUAGGAUAUGAUAAACUAUAAACGUAUGGUAAUAAUAGCUUUAUCGACUAUAUAUAGCAAGCACCUAUAGAAUUACCAAUUACUUUAUGGUAGAAGUGAAACAAAUAGAUAAUUUAUGUGUAGAACUAAAAAAGAAAAAAAAAUAAAGUGGUAAAGAAAACUGGUUAAAUGGGUCAAACGGUUUGAAGUUGCCCGAAGUGCGUAGUGAAUUCAACCUACAAUUACUUAUAAAUGGACAAAAGAACAGUUAUUUAUAAAUGGACAAAAGAACGUCUGUUCAAUGACAACACAGACUCGCUGGACCAAACCUAUGCAAUCAGCGCAUAAUUUAAGAACUUGAAACCCAACCUGUUUUAGUGGCGAAGGAGACCCUUUUUCGGCAGAAGUGAGGAUUCUGGACUUCAUAUGUGGACAUUUUUGCUGCAACAAAAGUAUCAAACUUUUACAAAUGUCAAACCUUUCAUGAUAGAAUUCAUGAAAUUUAAAUCAAGAAGAAACGAAACUCAUAAAUUGGCUUACAAAUGAUACACUUGGUUGUUCCUACGGUGCCAAUCUAGAUGUAAUGUGCAUAAAAACUUAAAGAGGUCAAAACUUCGACCCGUUUACUUAUAAAUAGGUUGAUUUGGCUAUGCUUUAUGAAAGAGGGCGAUUUGGGUUAUCUUUUUCUCUAACAACUCAAACUAAAAACAAAAGCAAUAAAAGGAAAACAUGUUGAAUAUGUAUAACCGAUUCGAAGUCGCCAUCAUGUAUUUUUAUUGCAUAAAACCUCCCCAAUCAUUAUAUCAAGAAUAUAGAAAUGAGAAAUCUAUUGAAAUAACAUACUUCUUAUAGUCAUAUUUAAGACACUGAAUAAAUAAGUUAAAGACCUAAAAAAAUGAGAGAUCGUUUUGGGUCGACCCAACUCAUU
rnacentral:lncRNA from 1 species